rnacentral:snRNA from 1 species
GGAGUGUUGUGUAAAGCAAAUAUAGAUAACAUAAGUCCAAAAUAUACUCUAUCUGGCUAGCUAGGCGGGUGUCUCCUUCUUCCCUCACCAUCCAUGUGCGUCCCUGCCUAAGCUGCGCGCUCGGUCGAAGAGGACGACCUUCCCCGAUAGUGGAGAGCACUGUUCUUCGGUCAAGGGUAUAGAGUGGCUGAGCUCCCCUGCUAGAACCUCCGUACAAGCUCUCAAAAUAUAUUCUUGACAUCAUUAUUUAAAUUAUUUUAGGAAUUAUUCAUUUAUUUUAGAAAU